AUUGAACGCUGGCGGCAGGCUUAACACAUGCAAGUCGAGCGGAGAUGAGGUGCUUGCACCUUAUCUUAGCGGCGGACGGGUGAGUAAUGCUUAGGAAUCUGCCUAUUAGCGGGGGACAACAUUCCGAAAGGAAUGCUAAUACCGCAUACGUCCUACGGGAGAAAGCAGGGGAUCUUCGGACCUUGCGCUAAUAGAUGAGCCUAAGUCGGAUUAGCUAGUUGGUGGGGUAAAGGCCUACCAAGGCGACGAUCUGUAGCGGGUAUGAGAGGAUGAUCCGCCACACUGGGACUGAAACACGGCCCAGACUCCUACGGGAGGCAGCAGUGGGGAAUAUUGGACAAUGGGGGAAACCCUGAUCCAGCCAUGCCGCGUGUGUGAAGAAGGCCUUAUGGUUGUAAAGCACUUUAAGCGAGGAGGAGGCUACUGAGACUAAUACUCUUGGAUAGUGGACGUUACUCGCAGAAUAAGCACCGGCUAACUCUGUGCCAGCAGCCGCGGUAACAC
rnacentral:rRNA from 1 species